AUUUUUAUAUGCUCUGAUUCAAAGAGACAUUGCCAAAAGGCAGGACAUAAAAAUGAUGAAAUUAAAAUAUAAAUAAAAGAAAAGUCUGCACGUACGCGCAAAUGAAACACAGCUCGCGACUGUUGGAGGCUAUAAGGUCGCUCACACACACACACACACACACACACACACGCAUGCAGCCCGUCAUAUACACCCACAGCAAAUAAAUUCAAUUUACAAUGAAAAAUGGCAGCGAUGAUGAAGAUGCGUGGGCCGCGUAUUUCACGCUUUUUAAUGAAGUUUCAUAAAUUGCGAGCAUCGAACGUUAAUCAAAUAAGGUGUGAGAGAAAUCAAAGGCCUCGCGUCCGUGGCGCCUUAAAUGGCCGCCGUGAAGCGACAAGCUGCAGACGCUGUCGCCACAAUUGGCCGGCCGAAUCUGUCAAUAAAUCAAUUAGUGUAAUAUAAAUCAAAAGUCGUGGAAACGAAGAAGUGGCCGCUGGAGGGCAGCCAAUG